AUACGUAGGUGACAAGCGUUAUCCGGAUUUACUGGGCGUAAAGGGCGUGUAGGCGGUCUUGCAAGUCAGAAGUGAAAUUCCUGAGCUCAACUCGGGCGCUGCUUCUGAAACUGCAGGACUUGAGUGCUGGAGGGGAUAGCGGAAUUCCUAGUGGAGCGGUAAAAUGCGCAGAUAUUAGGAAGAACACCGGUGGCGAAGGCGGCUAUCUGGACAGUAACUGACGCUGAGGCGCGAAAGCGUGGGGAGCAAACAGGAUUAGAUACCCUGGUAGUCACGCCGUAAACGAUGAAUACUAGGUGUAGGGGGUAUCGACUCCCUCUGUGCCGCAGUUAACACAAUAAGUAUUCCGCCUGGGGAGUACGGCCGCAAGGUUGAAACUCAAAUGAAUUGACGGGG
rnacentral:rRNA from 1 species